rnacentral:lncRNA from 1 species
UUUUCCCAAAUAUCAGGCUUAGGCGAAUACCCAAAAGCUACCUCCGGUGCUGAACUUCUCUUAAAAGACUGAAGAUUGAAAGAUGUGAUGAUCCAGUCACUGACUAAUAAUGAAAUUUUUGCAAGGUCUUUCUUCUCUCAGAUAGCUGAAGAUAUCAUCAUGCUUGAAGCCCAUGGACCUUCAACUUCACUGUUGUAACUCACUCAUGUCCCUGCCACCAUAGUUGCCUCCCCUGGAUUUCCUCCAUAGCGUGGAAAUUCAAAUUGCUCCAAUGCUCAUGUCAUUGCUGAUCUUACCUGCUGGAAUUCAAAAUUUGUGUAUCUUUUAGAUGCCCCAUUCUGCAACAAUGGUGUCGAAGCGAUGGUGCAGAUUGGCCUAAAUAAAGUAUAUUGCUGUUAGAUAUAUUGAAGAUAUUUCUCCAGAUUGACUUAGAUAAUUAUCAGAGCUCUUACAACCAGCAUUGAAUAUUGGUGACAUCAUUACAUGAGUAUAAAUUUUAUUUUCUAUGUAUUUAUUCUCUUUCUGUUUAAUUCUUGUUUUAGUGUUUUGCCUCUAUCCAUUCCAAUUGUCUUGCGG